rnacentral:rRNA from 1 species
UAACAAGGAUUCCCCUAGUAACGGCGAGUGAAGCGGGAAGAGCUCAAAUUUGUAAUCUGGCACUUUCAGUGUCCGAGUUGUAAUCUCGAGAAGUAUUUUCCGCGCCGGACCGCAUACAAGUCUGUUGGAAUACAGCGUCAUAGUGGUGAGAACCCCGUAACUGAUGCGGAUGCCCGGUGCUUUGUGAUAUACUUUCGAAGAGUCGAGUUGUUUGGGAAUGCAGCUCAAAUUGGGUGGUAAAUUCCAUCUAAAGCUAAAUAUUGGAGCAAGACCGAUAGCGAACAAGUACCGUGAGGGAAAGAUGAAAAGCACUUUGGAAAGAGAGUUAACAGUACGUGAAAUUGUUGGAAGGGAAACGCUUGAAGUCAGACUUGCUAUUCGGAGUUCAGCCGCAAGGUGUAUUCUUCGAUUUGCAGGCCAGCAUCAGUUUUUGGGGGUGGAAAAUCGUGGUUUGAAGGUAGCAGUUUCGGCUGUGUUAUAGCUUUCCACUGGAUUCAUCUUCGGGGACUGAGGAACGCAGUACGCUUUUUGCAAGGCUUUCGAGCUAUCGUACC